GCUGGGACUACAGGCGCCCGCCAUGAUGCCCGGCUAAUUUUUUGUAUUUUUAGCAGAGACGGGGUUUCACCCUGUUAGCCAGGAUGGUCUCAUCUCCUGACCUCGUGAUCCGCCCGCCUAGGCCUCCCAAAGUGCUGGGAUUACAGGCGUGAGCCACCGCGCCCGGCCUAAUAAAGGACAAUUUUUAAUAGCCACUGGACUAUUUAAGUGAUCUCUUCUGUCAGUUUCUUUUACCAUCAGAGGACACAGCAGCAAGGUGCCAUCCUAGAAGCAGAGAGCAGACCCUUACCAGACAACCAACCAGCUGGUGCCAUGAUCUUGGACUUCUCGGCCUCCAGAACUCAACACCACACCCUCCUGAUCACCAUAGCUUUAUGCAACAACAAGAAACAAAUUUAUUAGCUAACCUAACCACUAAUGACGCAAGAGACAAUUCUAAGGACUUUCAAAACAGCAAAGUAGGAGCAGCUGCUACCUCUAGGGAUGAGGGAUGCAAUUGUCCAAUUAUUGGUGAAAUUGUCAUUUCAUGCUAUUGGCUAUUUGAAAUUCCUCCUCUAAUAAUAAAUCACUGAAAUUGACAUCGGCCAGUCUGAAUUUCAAGAAAUUACCUGCUGAAGACAAGAGGGAUCUCUUCUUCAGAUUUGCAGUCUGGGGAAGACACAGCCUCUACUGUACUUUAGAACCUGAGAUAUGGUGGUGGAGGGAGCCCUGGGUCGAGUGGUAAGAUUCACCCUUAGGUUAGUAUUGACGUAAGGUGACGAGGAGCUGUAGACAAAAGAUUGUAACCAUAAGAACUUCAUAGUUUUUGUAUUUUCACCGAGCUUAUAUUUGGUGUGUUUUUUGUCUUUUCUUUAUGAUUAUCAAUAAAAUGCUUGAAA
rnacentral:lncRNA from 1 species